GGUUGCGGACAGUGUCUGGUGGGUAGUUUGACUGGGGCGGUCUCCUCCUAAAGAGUAACGGAGGAGCACGAAGGUUGGCUAAUCCUGGUCGGACAUCAGGAGGUUAGUGCAAUGGCAUAAGCCAGCUUGACUGCGAGCGUGACGGCGCGAGCAGGUGCGAAAGCAGGUCAUAGUGAUCCGGUGGUUCUGAAUGGAAGGGCCAUCGCUCAACGGAUAAAAGGUACUCCGGGGAUAACAGGCUGAUACCGCCCAAGAGUUCAUAUCGACGGCGGUGUUUGGCACCUCGAUGUCGGCUCAUCACAUCCUGGGGCUGAAGUAGGUCCCAAGGGUAUGGCUGUUCGCCAUUUAAAGUGGUACGCGAGCUGGGUUUAGAACGUCGUGAGACAGUUCGGUCCCUAUCUGCCGUGGGCGCUGGAGAACUGAGGGGGGCUGCUCCUAGUACGAGAGGACCGGAGUGGACGCAUCACUGGUGUUCGGGUUGUCAUGCCAAUGGCACUGCCCGGUAGCUAAAUGCGGAAGAGAUAAGUGCUGAAAGCAUCUAAGCACGAAACUUGCCCCGAGAUGAGUUCUCCCUGAGACUUUAGGUCUCCUGAAGGAACGUUGAAGACGACGACGUUGAUAGGCCGGGUGUGUAAGCGCAGCGAUGCGUUGAGCUAACCGGUACUAAUGAACCGUGAGGCUUAACCUUACA
rnacentral:rRNA from 1 species